GGGGUCUCAGCACUACUGCCAAGAGAUGAGCUAUAGGUGUAAAUACCGUAGGAGUCCCCUCGAAACCUACCAUUGACUAUGUACAUUCCCAUUGUCCGACAGACCUGCAAGAAAUGUGAUCCAUUUUUGUUGGUUAUGUUGUCGUAGUUGUGUCUAGGAGGACAAUAGGUAAAUGUACACUAUAACAGUAUAACAACACAUUUUUGUUACUUGGGUAUCUCUCUACCAACAGGAUCCAUUUCCUGAAGCUGAUGAUGAUGUCACAUACAGCACUGUCAGCCUCCAGCACAAGACCCAACUAAAAGGACAGACCAAGUCAGCAGAACCAGAUGAUAAUGUGGUCUACAGCUCACUAGCUCUACAGGUGACCACACAGCAGAGGGCAGCAGCAGCACAGUAGUGACUGACAGAGAAGACCUUCCUUUUACUGGAAGGACAGAACACUCCCCUCUCCUGUGUCACAACAUCUGUCUGCCUCCAAUAUGAUUCUGUCAUACCUCUUAACCCAUCCCAGGAAGACACCUCUAUCCUUUAGUGUAAUAAACUACUGAAGGCAGUCUGCUGUGUUUGUUCUGAUUAUCAUCACAUUUCUGUUAUUAGUUAUGUUCCACCACCUUUCCCCUUGUCUCUUAUUUCUUACAUCAUGAUCUCAUUGAUCUAGUUUAAUGUCCUAUGCCUGUAACUAAUCAUGAUCAAACGUGUAUU
ensembl:lncRNA